UUGCUCGGAAUCACUGGGCGUAAAGGGUGCGUAGGCGGGUCUUUAAGUAAGGGGUGAAAUCCUGGAGCUCAACUCCAGAACUGCCUUUGAUACUGAAGAUCUUGAGUUCGGGAGAGGUGAGUGGAACUGCGAGUGUAGAGGUGAAAUUCGUAGAUAUUCGCAAGAACACCAGUGGCGAAGGCGGCUCACUGGCCCGAUACUGACGCUGAGGCACGAAAGCGUGGGGAGCAAACAGG
rnacentral:rRNA from 1 species